rnacentral:rRNA from 1 species
UGUCCCUACGGGGCGCAGCAGUGAGGAAUAUUGGUCAAUGGGCGGGAGCCUGAACCAGCCAAGUCGCGUGAGGGAAGACGGUCCUACGGAUUGUAAACCUCUUUUGCCGGGGAGCAACGGGGUCCUUGCGAGGGCCCGAUGAGAGUACCCGGAGAAAAAGCAUCGGCUAACUACGUGCCAGCAGCCGCGGUAAUACGUAGGUGGCAAGCGUUAUCCGGAUUUAUUGGGUGUAAAGGGCGUGUAGGCGGGAAUGCAAGUCAGAUGUGAAAACUCAGGGCUCAACCCUGAGCCUGCAUUUGAAACUG